CCCAGACUGUGUUUCUAACUAAAGCACCGGUAGUGGGCGGUGUUUGUAAUGAUGAGUGUACCCCUUUAAGAGCCAGAGGUGGGCGGUGUCAGGUAAACAAGGAAGUAGCGUGUGUGGCAAGGUGUGGCCGAGCAGCAGCUUGUGAGAGACCGUGUGCUGCUGUGUUUAAAAAAAAAAAAAAAAAAAAAAAAGUCAGGCUGUGGUUCACUUUGCUGGAUCGGUUUUCAUGUGUGCUGAGUGGGCGCUACAAGUGCUCAAUUGCGCAGCUUAGAGGGAACAUUGCACGUGAGUACUCGCGGUGGCUUGCUAGCUACUGCCACCCAACCGCAAAUCGCACUUGGUCACUAAAUUCCAAGCUGUGGUAUCUGCCCAAGUACUCGUGCUGAACUGAGUGAUCAACAGCACCACCACUACUGCUAACAGCCUCCGGCACUGACCGAGAACUUUUCAUAGUUUUUGUUCAAAAUCUGAACAAAUACUCCUGAGGGAUUGAGUUCACCUGUCACAUCAUGAAUGGAGCCCAGAGAUGGAGGACAGUGCAUGAAGACUGUCAGCAUCACUCACAAACCGUGACUAAGAGCCACGUACUGGAUGUUGCUGCCAACAAUGUGGACCCUUGCGGAGACCUCGUCCAGAAGUGGAACACUACCAAGCAUGUCUGUUGGAUUUGGGAAAACACCUUCAUCAAAAAUGUGCUUUUCCUUCCCAAGUUAUUGUACUGCGGUGAUGCAUUUUGGGGCCAAGAUGUUCAGCAAAGGAAAGAGGAGCGAGAGAAGGCCAUCUACAUGAAGCCGAAAAGACCAUCUCUAAACUCAAGAAGUGGAGUGCAACACCACCUAUCAUACAAGACUUGGACCAGCUAACGAGAAAUAUGACAACUAUUUUUGUACAAGUUGACAAAUGUUCAAUUUGUUCUUGCGAAAAUGAAGAAACAUUCAGAUAAAAACAUUUCGUUUAUCCCCCUUCACUUAAAUCCUGUUUAGGUAAAUGAUGAUCAUCCAUUUCAUUCCUCUCUGGUCAUAUUUGCCAUGAUUUUCACCUACUUGAACUUUUGCCUGCUAACACAUCACCAGAUUGGGCAUUGAUCACACAAAAAUGUGGUUGCAUUAUACUGUCCUUGUCACAGAAUUUUUAAAAAGUCCCACAUAGGACACUACUCAUAACUAAUAGAGAAACACUGCAAUCUGCAUCUGAAUCUGCAAUCAAUAUGUUAGUAAAGUAGGUUAAUGUAAAGCUCAUCGGUUUGUGCUUCACCUACGUCUCGUGGGUCCCACGGGUGGCGUUAUGAUCGACAGAGUGAAAUUUUCAAAUUAGACGAUAGGGUGCUCACCUUACAUUUCAUGAUGAAAUUCGAUCACACUUUUGCCAUGUCUUUUUUUCUCGCUCUCUUUUCAACUUAGCUUCGCAUUUUGUAAUCGCUGUCAGUCAAACGCUCUACCUCUGCAUACUGCAAUAAUGACGUAAGCGUGUUGUGUAUAUGCACCAUUGCUGUCUUCCGUCAUUGGUGUCUCCUAUCUUUGCGACCGUCCACACACUAAACCUGGUGUGCAGUUUUGCUUUUAAAUUUUGACAAGGAAAGUGCGAUGCGAGACCGUUUAAUUCAAGCAUUGCACACGUACGGUAGGCAAUGUUGUGUGUCAGAGGACACACAUUCUUCAAGCUUUUUGCUUCCCUCAUCAUUUUUGCACGUCAAGGACGCAGGAUGCACAUUGAACCAAAUCUUUGUGCACUCUUUAACUUAUCACAUAAACGUAAUUUAAGAAUGAUAAAAUGUCACAGUAAAACGUUGCGUCGACACUUCACAAAGAAGACUCAGGAACCAAGGAAUUCCAUUUCCAUUCUUUACAAUAGAAUUUUUUUCCUCCAACAGAAACUAAAAAAAAAAAAACAAGUGCAAGUUUGGAUAAUUAUCAUCUCGUCUUUGCCUUGCGGAAUACACACACAUACAUGUAAAAGCACAAUCAUACGCAAACUUGCUCACAAUGACACACGUACACGCACACACACACACAGACAUACACGGGCAGAGAGGGCAGAAAUUGCUGACAUGGACACUCAGGAAUUUCAUGCCAACAGGAGGAAUCUGCUGAUGCGACUGAGACUUGUCUGAGGCGCAAAUCUCAAAAAUGAAGUCAAGUCACUUUUCACUUGCACCGUCCAGUUGAUUUAAUAUCUCAGGACUUUGUCAACUGUUCCAUGUCGUUCUCAGCCAGAUGUCAAGGAGAAAAAGGUCGUGUGUGUGUGUGUGUGUGUGUGUGUGUGUGUGUGUGUGUGUGUGUGUGUGUGAAUGAGAGACUACAAACCUUGACCCCUUCAGUUGAGCUUGUGCUAUCAGCGUCAAAUGCCGUCAGCAAGAUUGAUUGCUUAGUCUUGGCAUCACUUCACCAACAUAAUUCAUUACCGUGAAAGUCCCUGUUUUGAUCUGUGAACACUGAGUAGCGCCCCCUGCUGCUACAGUCUUUUCUCCAUUACAGAUUGUCCCGAUUGUUACAGAAGUAUUUUGCUAGUACUUGGCCCACUCUUACAAGCCAAGCCAAUCAAAAUACUUAAAAAUGGCCCUGUGUAUCUAACCCAAAAAAAUAAAAAUAAAAUAAUACAGUUGCAUUUUUAGUUUAGUUUGCUACAUUUGCCAGCAUGACUAAUUCUGAAGGAAUCCAUGCAGAUUAGAGACAGAUCAACAGACAGACAAGUAGUUAGGUAGGUGAUGUAGGUUGGUAGUUAGGUAGAUUGGGUGGAUGGGGUUUUUGGUUUGUCGGUCUGUGGGUCGGUCAAUCAGUAGGUCGGUCAAUACUAUAUCCAUCCACAAGGGAAAUUCACUGUUUAAGUAGUCUUUACAUUGAAAACAAUACAAAGUAAAACAGA